ACUGCUCAGUAACACGUGGACAACCUGCCCUUAGGUUGGGUAUAAACCCGGGAAACUGGGUAUAAUACCCGAUAGGUCUCGAUUGCUGGAAUGCAUCGAGAUUUAAAGCUCCGGCGCCUAAGGAUGGGUCUGCGGCCUAUCAGGUAGUAGUGGGUGUAGCGUACCUACUAGCCUACGACGGGUACGGGUUGUGAGAGCAAGAGCCCGGAGAUGGAUUCUGAGACACGAAUCCAGGCCCUACGGGGCGCAGCAGGCGCGAAAACUUUACAAUGCGGGAAACCGUGAUAAGGGAACUCCGAGUGUCCGUAAAUUCGGACUGUCCGUAUGUUUAAAAAGCAUACGAAGAAAGGGCCGGGCAAGACCGGUGCCAGCCGCCGCGGUAAUACCGGCGGCUCGAGUGGUGGCCACUAUUACUGGGCUUAAAGGGUCCGUAGCUUGAUAAUAGGGUCCCUUGAGAAAUCCGCCGGCUUAACUGGCGGGCGUUCAGGGGAAACUUGUUUUCUAGGGACCGGGAGAGGUGAGGGGUACUGCCGGGGUAGGAGUGAAAUCCUGUAAUCCCGGUGGGACCACCUAUGGCGAAGGCAUCUCACCAGAACGGGUCCGACAGUGAGGGACGAAAGCUGGGGGAGCAAACCGGAUUAGAUACCCGGGUAGUCCCAGCUGUAAACUAUGUGCGUUAGGUGUGUCAGUGACCACGUGUCACUGAGGUGCCGAAGGGAAACCGUGAAACGCACCGCCUGGGGAGUACGGUCGCAAGGCUGAAACUUAAAGGAAUUGGCGGGGGAGCAC
rnacentral:rRNA from 1 species